GACGAACGCUGGCGGCGUGCCUAAUACAUGCAAGUCGAGCGGAUGGAAGGAAGCUUGCUUCCUAAAGUCAGCGGCGGACGGGUGAGUAACACGUGGGCAACCUGCCCCUAAGAUCGGGAUAACUUCGGGAAACCGGAGCUAAUACCGGAUAUGAUUAUGUCUCACGUGAGACAUAAUGGAAAGACGGUUUCGGCUGUCACUUAGGGAUGGGCCCGCGGCGCAUUAGCUAGUUGGUGAGGUAACGGCUCACCAAGGCGACGAUGCGUAGCCGACCGGAGAGGGUGAUCGGCCACACUGGGACUGAGACACGGCCCAGACUCCUACGGGAGGCAGCAGUAGGGAAUCUUCCGCAAUGGACGAAAGUCUGACGGAGGAACGCCGCGUGAGUGAAGAAGGUUUUCGGAUCGUAAAACUCUGUUGUUAGGGAAGAACAAGUACCAUAGUAACUGAUGGUACCUUGACGGUACCUAACCAGAAAGCCACGGCUAACUACGUGCCAGCCGCCGCAGUAAUAC
rnacentral:rRNA from 1 species